CUUGUACUCCCUCCGUCCGAAAAUACUUGUCAUUGAAAUGGAUGUAUCUAGAUGUAUUUUAGUUCUAGACACAUCCAUUUUGGUGACAAGUAAUUCCGGACGGAGGGAGUACUUG
rnacentral:pre_miRNA from 1 species